rfam:Arthrobacter albus DNF00011 contig09, whole genome shotgun sequence.
GGAUCCUUAGCUCAGCUGGUUAGAGCGUUCGCUUCACACGCGAGAGGUCGCUGGUUCGAGUCCAGUAGGAUCCA